rnacentral:misc_RNA from 1 species
UAUAUGAGUAUGUAUGUGUAGGGUUGAAUAUGUAUGUCGAUAUUUUGUCUGUGUGAAAGCAAAUUCUAUGUUGGUCGUCUUAAAAACACUGUUUUGAAUAUAAAGAACACACGGUUCUACCGAAAUACGGACGGAAUGGACUGCUAAAAACCCAGAGGAUACUAUUUACCAUUAUUUCAAACAAGUUUUGGUUCCACUAGCGAGGAAUAUAAUUAUAUAUUUAUAUACAUACAUAUAUAUAUAUAUACACUCACACACACACGUAUUUAUUUACAUCUAUAAACAGCCUCUUGUGCCACACACAGACACACACACGCACCAGCGACUACCAAAAGUGGAACUGUUUUGGGAGGGUUUCUUUACUUCAAUCGAUGCUUUUGUAGAGUUUAGUAGGUUUCCCCUGUAAAGUUAAAAAUCGCUUGUUCAAGUACAACUUGAAACAACAUCACCUCUUAACUAAAAAAUAGAAAUAAAGUGUGUACAUGUAAUAUAUAAUAUUAUAUAAUAUAUAUAUAUGUAUGUAUGUAAUGUAUGUAUGUAAACUGUGUUUUUAAGUCACGUUCUCGUUAAAUAUUACGACAGUUUGUGUAUAUAUUAGACAGCACAUAUACACACAUACAAUCAGAUAUGCAGAAGCUGAUAUGAGACAUUCACAGUCGCGUACCUCGAGCAAAUCAGCGACUCUUUAUGGUCGGUGCGUGUGUGCACACGUGUGAAGGUGGCUUUUCACUCCCCCACCCCCAGCCCGACACUCAGAUUUCCUACUGUACUAUAAAGAUAUAUAUAUUGAUAUUUGUAUAAAUAUUUAUGUAUGUCUACAAGGUGUAAACAAGUGUGUAUGAAUAUCCUGCCGAGUAUAUAUUUAUUUAUGUAGGUUUGUCUAAAUGUUGUUUGACGCAACACUGGCCACACACUUCAGCGGUGAAUCGCUCGCCUAUUAUUGCUCCGUCUAAGAUAUAUAUAUAUAUAUCCCUUCUCUUAUGAAAUAUAUAUAAUAUGUAUAUAUAAUAAUAAAUUUAUAGACGUAGAUGAUGUCUAUAUUUCUCUAUAGACUUACUGCUGUGAUUGCUAGACACCGUAGUGCCAUUCUAGUUUGCACUACCUAAGGAAAUUCUACUACACCAACAAUCUUACCAAAACACUCCACCAAUUAUGGGAGACAACGGUUUAACACGGAUUUUACUUGUUAGCGCCAACGUUGGAUCCAUUUUCGAGGAUCCGGACAAUACAUUAAAAUUAUGGCUACGGGAAUUUCAAAAGUGCUUGCAUCGGACCGAGCCGCGAUUCUUGGCCGUACAUUGUCAAGAAGUCGGUGGAAAGAACUACGAGGACUCUAUGCAACACGUGAAUAAUUUUGUAACGAGUUUAUUAGGCUGCGAUGAAUUACAGAACUUUGACAGGGUUCGGGUAUUCCUGGAUGAAGAUUUCACUGCAGCUGACAAAUUUACCGCUCUGGGCAAUCUCUAUUUUGUUCAUGUCGAUGUGGAUGUGGCAGAAAUAUGGGACUUUGAAGCCAGCAAGUUUCUUACGGUUGAAGGUCGAGAGGUCCAGUCUGGUAAUAUUGAGAAUGUCACCGUCAAAGAAAAAGCCAAGUUCCCACAGAGAUUCUACCCUGAUUUUAAAUGGUCCCGAAAAGGAUUUUUACGAACUCGAUGGAAUAUUAAUAAUUGUGCAUUCGACCUAUGUAACAUUCAUCUUUUCCAUGAUGCUUCAAAUAUUAUUGCAAUGCAAAAUAGUCCCUCCGUAUAUUGUGGAAACAGAAAAGAGGCGCUACGGCACACACUACAACGAUUCGAGGAAGAUAAAUAUGAAAAAUUACCAAUGUUUAUUUUUGGUGACUUCAACUUCCGACUGGAUUCACAUCUAUUAAUCAAGGAAUUAACAGACAAAACUCUCCCUCAACAUACCAAAGGCAAGAAGGACCAGUUGGCCAAAAUUGUCUACAUAGAAGCAGACAACAAUGAGAAAGCCAUACUGACUGUGGAGAGCAAACAGUUUAAUUAUCAUGAUAAACACACAGAAUUCUUUUAUAACAAAAAUAACAUGUUGCAACAGUAUGAUACAGAGUUAAAUGCAUUCAAAGACCAAAUAUCAGAAUUUGAAAUUAGUUUCCCACCAAGUUAUCCAUUUAGUGAAGACACAAACGAUGGGCUGUCAUAUAUGAAGACGAGAUGUCCCUCUUGGUGUGACCGUGUCUUAUUUAACCACAGAGCAAAGGAUAUAAUUGUCUAUAAUGACGAACAUCGACUUGACUAUGAUGUCAUAGGCCAUAAUACCUGUAUGGGUGACCACAAGCCAGUCUACCUUCUAUUUCACGUGAAGAACGGCCCAGGUAACACACCUCAAAUUCCCACUUCCACCAGACAUUUGCGAAGGAACACCUUGUCUGUAAAUGGCGAGGACAUGAGCGACGUAGAAAUUGCGAAGUUAAAUAUUCACGAUUAUGCUGUGUUUGAAUAUGAGCAGAAGCUGCUAUCUAACUUUCGGAAUAGCAUUCGGUCUAGGAAUUAUGCCGAGAACCAUCUAUCCAAAUCUUCUUUGAACGGUGCUGAAGAGUCUCGUAUCUCCUUCCAUGACACGGCUAAACAUGUGUUAAUGGCUGAGAGUGUUCUGAUGAAUUGGCAGCGUCACAUGAAGCACCAUAGUUCUUCGUCAGAAGACUUCAUUGACACCAGCCUCGAUGAUCUUCCUGAGCACCUCGGCAAAAGUAACCUCGACAACCUCGAUCAAGCUUCGACACUGACCUUGUUGUCGUCGGAGUAUUACAAUCCAAGUAUCAACACAUCAAACCUCGAUAGCAAUUCUCUGAUUCUGUCACAGCAUCCGACCGUUCAUGCUCCCAGCCUAGGUACUCCUGCAGAUUCUGGUGGCAGUGGCAGAGAUGGUAGCCUCAGUAGUAUGACGAUGCAUGAAGCACAUUCCACACCUCACACCACAGAUGUCCAAUGUGCAUGUAAUGUUGUCCAGCCAUGUCCUGACAGUGUUAGCGGAAAAGGGACAUUAGCACAGUCUCCGAGAUCCAUAGGUGUAUCCAGAUCUUCAUCAUUAGCGAAACGCACGUCCUGGUUAUGUCCAUCUUGCACAGUUGUAUGACAUCCUCUCGUCUCCCACCUUCUCCAAUGCACCUCCCCCCUUCAGACAAUUGUAACGUAAAACCCCAUCAGAGAGUGACAAGCUGGACUCUGCACUUGCGCAGUGUCUCCUUACAACUGACAUUAUCGUCCCUAGCACUCAAGUAAAGAUCUCUCAAGUGGACACCACGAAAUACAUCCAUGUACAACACAACGGCACCUCUGUCCGAGUUUUCCGAGAAACAUCAGUAUGAAAACUACUGACGGUUAUAAUAAUAAUAAUAAUAAUAAUGAUUAUAAUAUUGACAGCAACAACAAUUGCAUCAACAGUGAUUAUACAAUGUUAAUUUCUUUCUAUUGCCAUAUGGACAUUUGAUAAUAAUAAUAAUAAUAAUAAUAAUAUUGACA